AUUGAACGCUGGCGGCAGGCCUAACACAUGCAAGUCGGACGGUAGCACAGAGGAGCUUGCUCCUCGGGUGACGAGUGGCGGACGGGUGAGUAAUGUCUGGGGAUCUGCCCGAUAGAGGGGGAUAACCACUGGAAACGGUGGCUAAUACCGCAUAACGUCGCAAGACCAAAGAGGGGGACCUUCGGGCCUCCCACUAUCGGAUGAACCCAGAUGGGAUUAGCUAGUAGGCGGGGUAACGGCCCACCUAGGCGACGAUCCCUAGCUGGGCUGAGAGGAUGACCAGCCACACUGGAACUGAGACACGGUCCAGACUCCUACGGGAGGCAGCAGUGGGGAAUAUUGCACAAUGGGCGCAAGCCUGAUGCAGCCAUGCCGCGUGUAUGAAGAAGGCCUUCGGGUUGUAAAGUACUUUCAGCGGGGAGGAAGGCGAUAAGGUUAAUAACCUUGUCGAUUGACGUUACCCGCAGAAGAAGCACCGGCUAACUCCGUGCCAGCCGCCGCUGUAA
rnacentral:rRNA from 1 species